rnacentral:rRNA from 1 species
UAGGGAAUCUUCGGCAAUGGACGGAAGUCUGACCGAGCAACGCCGCGUGAGUGAAGAAGGUUUUCGGAUCGUAAAGCUCUGUUGUUAGAGAAGAACGCUGGUAGGAGUGGAAAAUCUACCAAGUGACGGUAACUAACCAGAAAGGGACGGCUAACUACGUGCCAGCAGCCGCGGUAAUACGUAGGUGGCAAGCGUUGUCCGGAAUUAUUGGGCGUAAAGCGCGCGCAGGUGGUUUAAUAAGUCUGAUGUGAAAGCCCACGGCUCAACCGUGGAGGGUCAUUGGAAACUGUUAAACUUGAGUGCAGGAGAGAAAAGUGGAAUUCCUAGUGUAGCGGUGAAAUGCGUAGAGAUUAGGAGGAACACCAGUGGCGAAGGCGGCUUUUUGGCCUGUAACUGACACUGAGGCGCGAAAGCGUGGGGAGCAAACAGGAUUAGAUACCCUGGUAGUCCACGCCGUAAACGAUGAGUGCUAAGUGUUGGUCUCAUAAGAGAUCAGUGCUGCAGCUAACGCAUUAAGCACUCCGCCUGGGGAGUACGACCGCAAGGUUG